CCUACGGGAGGCAGCAGUGGGGAAUAUUGCACAAUGGGCGAAAGCCUGAUGCAGCGACGCCGCGUGAGGGAUGAAGGUCUUCGGAUCGUAAACCUCUGUCAGCAGGGAAGAACGGUCAUUGUGCUAAUAAGCAGCGAAUUGACGGUACCUGCAAAGGAAGCACCGGCUAACUCCGUGCCAGCAGCCGCGGUAAUACGGAGGGUGCGAGCGUUAAUCGGAAUUACUGGGCGUAAAGCGCUCGUAGGCGGUAUGUCAAGUCAAGGGUGAAAUCCCCGCGCUCAACGUGGGAACUGCCUUUGAAACUGGCAGACUAGAGUGUGGUAGAGGAGAGUAGAAUUCCAGGUGUAGCAGUGAAAUGCGUAGAUAUCUGGAGGAACAUCAGUGGCGAAGGCGACUAUCUGGCACAUAACUGACGCUGAGGAGCGAAAGCGUGGGGAGCAAACAGGAUUAGAUACCCGUGUAGUC
rnacentral:rRNA from 1 species